rnacentral:rRNA from 1 species
UACAGAGGGCGCGAGCGUUGUCCGGAAUCACUGGGCGUAAAGGGCGCGUAGGUGGCCACCAUAAGGCCGCGGUGAAAGUUCGGGGCUCAACCCCGGAUCGGCCGCGGCGACUGUGGGGCUCGGGUACUGUAGAGGCAGAUGGAAUUCCUGGUGUAGCGGUGAAAUGCGCAGAUAUCAGGAGGAACACCAAUUGCGAAGGCAGCUCGCUGGGACGUUACUGACGCUGAGACGCGAAAGCGUGGGGAGCAAACAGG